rnacentral:rRNA from 1 species
ACAACCAUAUCAUGUUCAAACACUGGUUCUCAUCUGAUCACCAAAGUUAAGCAAUGCUGAGCCUGGUCAGUACCUACAUGGGUAACUGCUUGGGAAUACCAAGUGUUAUA